rnacentral:tRNA from 1 species
GCUCCGAAAGCUUCCUAGUAAUUAAGCCACGGUCUUGUAAAUCGUAGAGGGAGGUUAAAAUCCUCCUCAGAGCU